rnacentral:tRNA from 1 species
GGCCAUAGCUUAGUGGUAGAGCACUUGCCUAGCAUGUGUGAGGCACUGGGUUCAAUCCUCAGUACCA